rnacentral:rRNA from 1 species
UACAGAGGGUGCAAGCGUUUAAUCGGAAUUACUGGGCGUAAAGCGCACGUAGGUGGCUUGAUAAGUUGGGUGUGAAAUCCCCGGGCUUAACCUGGGAAUUGCAUUCAAGACUGUCUUGCUAGAGUGUGGAAGAGGGAAGCGGAAUUCCAGGUGUAGCGGUGAAAUGCGUAGAUAUCUGGAGGAACAUCAGUGGCGAAGGCGGCUUCCUGGUCCAACACUGACACUGAGGUGCGAAAGCGUGGGGAGCAAACAGGG